ensembl:lncRNA
AGACAGACAGCAGGAGGUAUGAGGAAGCUUGGUGCCUCCCUACAUGGCCCCAUGGAUACCGCUGCUACUGCAGCACAGCGCAUCCUUCCUCUUUGCAGCUGCUUAAAAAAAGCUCUGACGACCAACUGAAGACACCAAGAAAUGAAUCAAGGCCUGCCUGGAAAAAGCUCAAACUGGGAGAGCAAAACCUUUUAGCAACAAGACUGAGAGGUUACUGGAUUACACCAUAUUGCCUUGAUUAUCUUCAAGAAAAAACAGCAUAAGAGGCUUCUUCAGCUUAACAUGGAGAGAUCCAAGAAGAACCAACAAGUGGGUGCCAAAACCAGACACAUUCAGGCAAGAACACCAAAUGAGCUCAAUCUGCAUCUCACCAUCGCCACACAUUUCUGAACCAAGACCAGAUGUCCUUCAGGAAGAAAUUCACGUCUUUGCUAACUACGUACACGCUUCUGCCAGUGGUGCCGUGUCAGGAGGAAGGUCAGCCCCUUCUGAUGUGAGGACACAGCCAGAAGGGUGAGAUGCAGCUGGGGAACAGAGCGGGGAGCAGAGGGGAGGACAAGGGGAGCUGUGUCUCUGCUGGGAGCUGUUGGAGGAGCUACUGUACUGCCAAGCAGGUGCCGUGCUUGCUGGGAAGCUGGCAAAGGUGCAGGGAUAACGGCAGCAGGCGCUGCUAUGAUGCUGUGUUGACAAGACGAUAAAGUGAGCAGAAUGUGAGCUGCCAGCCGCACCACCAGCAGCGUGUCCUUCAGCCCUGCUCACACACACUUACUGGAAGACGAUCACUCACCCUCAGGAUGCCGGGCACUGGGCCACACGUGCUUCCAACACUUUGUUUGGAUGGAUGUGAAACUCACUGCAGAGCCCACAGCAGCAUGUGGUCCAUCAUUCUGCUGCAAGGGACAUGGGGAGGUUUUGGUGCAGGGACUUUCAGAUGCCAGCAUCACAGACAGACUUUAAUGGAAGAGGAAAAAGAAAGAAAGCAUCUAUAAACAUAUCCAUAUUAAGGAUGAUAAAAAAUAGAUAUUGUUCAUCUGCAUGCUUCAUUAAGAAUGAAAAUGCAUCAAGGGUCGGGAGCCAUGCCAGCAAAACAAGGGGGCUUCUCAUAUUCCAGAAGAGCAGAGUUGUAUCCAAGCGGAGAAAAAGAGAUGCUGUGCUUGCACUUUGAGGCUGGAGAAAAGACAAGUCUAAUCAUUCUCCCUUUUAGCCUGAAUGUUGUUGCACUCGAGAGAUCAAGGUACAUAGAGAAAAAUACAUAAAGGAGGGGAUGUUAACCCCACACACUUUUGCCCAUUCCAAUAAUUCUUAAAACUCAUUAGGUUAGCUCCAUCUCUCUGUUGCUGGUAAUGAGGUUCAGAGUUUGUGUCGCUAUUGUAAUGGGUUAUUGAUCACCUCUCAGAGAACUUCAUCGUUUCUGCCAUCUGAAAAAAAAUCCCUGUAAUGAAUGCUAGUCCUGAUGAAUUUGAUUUUAAUUACAUACAAGUCUUGUUGCGCUUUCCCAAUGCUAAGCUUUCAUCUCUCCCCAGUAACAGCUUUAUUUUAAGCUUGCUUUCAACAGACGUCUGUGUUGGUCAUUUGGGCUGGGGAUUACAUUUUUCACCUGUUCUAGGAUUCUUGCGAAGAGCUAUUUUUUAAUCUGUAUUUUCUAAGAGAGGGAGCACGUGCCUGCGGAUGCAGAAAUAGCCUGCGUGAUGCCGCCAGCUGCAGAGCUGGGGAGCAUCCCCUGGCGUCCACCCGUCUGCUGCUGCUCUGAGAUCUGCCAUCCCCCAGUUCAGCCCCCAACACCACUGCUUUGUGGCAGGGAGCAGGACAAGGGGCAGAAGCCAUUGCCAGCUGCAGUCAGGGAGACACUGGUGUCCUUGGAUCUAGAGCAAGGUGCUGCAAGCACAGCAGCAGAAAUCAAUUCAGCACUGCAGGAAGAUGGGAACAAGCACAAUUACAGCAGGGGGAAAUCCCAAACAAAGUUUGCAGGCUCCUCCUUGCUCCCCAGGAGACUGCAGCUUGCUCUGCUGAAGUGAAGGUUUCCCACUACAAGAAGUCAAUAUUGUUUUAUUCUAAUUGCAUCCAAAUAUUUAUGCCAGACCUGUGAGCUGCCAACACGCUGACAAUAAGAGGAAAGGCAAAAGCUGUUUAACUGUUACAGAAUAAACCCAGAUGGGAUGAAUGAGUGUGCUGGGCAGGGUGGAUGCACGUUAAGCCAAUCGAAAAUUAUUUUUUUUGUCAGCUUAAUGGAAAAGCCAAAGGGCUUUUUGCUCUUGAGUGCCGCUGUGACUCUUCUUAUGUUUUAAAAUGCUGCAUAAUUACAUGCAUAAGCCCACUUCAUCACACAGUUUGAUUUAGGCCCAGAGCUGGCAGAAAGCAAGCAGGUAGCACAGCUCCCAGACAGGGCAUCAGCUUUGGGCAGGGCUGCAGAAAGCAGCAGAGCAGGAGGAGCUGUCAUGCGGCAGUGCAGACCGAUGGGCAGCGCUCCAUCAGCGAUGGCACAACCCAGGGCCAGGGAAGGUUCAGACAGUGCUCCAUGCUGGGGUGUUGGGGGCACACCUCACCAGUGCAGCAGGCUCUAAACAGAGGGCAACAGCUGAGGAACACACAUCGCUGCCCGUGCUGAAGGCUCACCUGCUCAUACGCUGCUCCGAAGCCAAAGUGCUCCUUUUAAGGCCAAAGCCCAUCAGGGCAGCCAUAAAUACCCAGCCAUGCUUUUCCAGCUGGGGCUGUGGCUGUGCUAUCAGCCAGAAAUAGCACAAGAAAAUCCUUUCCAUGCUUUGCUCCGUCUGCACGUCUUUGGUGUUUGCCCAGCAAGGCGAGACCAGAGACAAGGAGUGCCAGCUUAUCCACAUCAGCGAGACCUCCAGAAGGGUCAUUCCUGGCUCCAUAGAAUCAUUGAGGUCAGGAAAGACUACUAAGAUCAAGUCCAACCCUCAGCACAGAACCACCGUGCUGCUAAACCAUGCCCCUUGUUCCACGCAGCACUCCUCUUGUUGUACUUAUUGUGUUAGCUGCAAUCCAGCUCAGAAAACACAUAGAAGCCCCUUAACCUAUCAAAUCUGUAAGAGACAAAGGAUGUAUUUUAUAAAAAAAAAAAAAAAGUAAUCUUAGAGACAAUUUUUUUUUUAAUAGGAUAAUUGCAAUAAUUGUUGUCUUAAGCACGUGUCUGAUUCAUGCCAAAGGUGCUACCAACUCAUUCAUUCGGAGCAGAGACGUCUUUAAAUAACUCACAGAAUCUGAGCCUCACUUCUGCAGUACAAAUAUUUUAUGCCAAAUAAGAUCAUACAGUUAUGGGAUCACCAAAAAGAUAAUUAAGGUGCAGAUCUUCAUUGGAAAUAGCUGUUUUCAAGAAGUCAGAACUCACUUUUCUGAAGCUAUCUGGAUGGAUGCCUGCAAUAAGAAAUGGUGUUUACUGUACAUAAAGAUUAUAAUAUAAUAUCCACAGAGGAACAAACUAUCUGGCUGAACAAAGCAACACAGAAGAGGGGAAAUCAUUGUAAAUCUUCUACCAACCAGGACUGAGCAAAUAAUUCAUCAUGAAUAAUUUGGUCAACAAACGUAGCUUGGUUUUGUGCUCACGAGUCAUUUAUAAACCAGCUCUGAUUUCCUUGCUUUGCUUUUAGCCGUUUGACUUAAUGCAAUAAUUUCAUUCUUCUGCAAAUAAGAACCCCAGAGAUGGAUGGCGAGCACUCUCCAACAAAGCCACGUGUCUUGCUUUUCUUUGACUAGAAAAAAAAAACACCAGAAGGACUCUUUUUCCUUUCCUGAGUGGAGGCAUUUGCAAACAGAGCUCGGUGCUGCUGCGAAAGCGCUUUCCACGGGAGCAGCUCAUUGGCAGAGCACUCACCGAGGGCUGAAGGCUGUGCUGGGGGUCCACUGCAACCCAACGUUUUCCCUCUUUCCAGCAAUCUACUUUUAUUCAGCAAAGCUACGAGUUCUUACCUCAAUAAGGAGAUAUUUAUUUUUGAUUUUACAUGGGUUUUCCGUGCACAUUAUUGCAAUCAAAUUUAAUUCCCUUCUAGUUGAACUGGCACUUGUUUCAGGUUGAAGUGCUAUCAAAUAAUAGCCCCUUUCUGCUGAAGUGCACCAUAAAAGUCCACAUCAAGCCCUGUUUAAAGCGACUUUGCAUUCGCACUGCACCGCGCUGCCACCUCGGAGAAGAUGCACACACAGCCACUCUAAUGACAUCGUUAGACUUUAAAUUGGUUGAUUCAUUUCACAGCUACAUCACCAGAAUGAAAACGUCACUUUGUCAUAAUAUUGUUUUAACGAUCAUCAUUGCCCUGUGACUUACUGUUAUACCGAACACUAAAACUUCAAUUACAAAGGUCUUCUCUUAAUUAGCCAAUACACUGAUCAUUUCAUUUUAAUUUUAGGCCGUGAGUUAAAAGAGGCAUCUCUGCAAUGCUUUCAGUUUAUUUCAACAAACUGUACCGCAACGAUCAUCCAGGAGGCACAUAAAUCUCUGGUUUGAGUCCAUUUGCUAUCAUAUAGACAUAAAUGAAAUGUUAAUAGAACACUUAGGGCAAAAUAAAUUAAUU